rnacentral:rRNA from 1 species
UACGUAGGGGGGCUAGCGUUGUCCGGAUUUAUUGGGCGUAAAGAGCGUGUAGGCGGCCAGGUAGGUCCGGUGUGAAAACUCGAGGCUUAACCUCGAGAUGUCAUCGGAAACCAUCUGGCUAGAGUCCGGAAGAGGAAAGUGGAAUUCCUGGUGUAGCGGUGAAAUGCGCAGAUAUCAUGAGGAAGACCAGUGGCGAAGGCGGGUCUCUGGACAGUUCCUGACACUGAGACACGAAGGCCAGGGGAGCAAACGGG